UACGAAGGGGGCUAGCGUUGCUCGGAUUGACUGGGCGUAAAGGGCGCGUAGGCGGUUUGUACAGUCAGGCGUGAAAUUCCUGGGCUCAACCUGGGGGCUGCGUUUGAUACGUGCAGACUUGAGUUCGGAAGAGGGUCGUGGAAUUCCCAGUGUAGAGGUGAAAUUCGUAGAUAUUCGCAAGAACACCAGUGGCGAAGGCGGCUCACUGGCCCGAUACUGACGCUGAGGCACGAAAGCGUGGGGAGCAAACAGG
rnacentral:rRNA from 1 species